CAGUCGCCACGGUAAUACGUAGGUGGCAAGCGUUGUCCGGAAUUAUUGGGCGUAAAGGGCUCGCAGGCGGUUUCUUAAGUCUGAUGUGAGAGCCCCCGGCUCAACCGGGGAGGGUCAUUGGAAACUGGGAAACUUGAGUGCAGAAGAGGAGAGUGGAAUUCCACGCGUAGCGGUGAAAUGCGUAGAGAUGUGGAGGAACACCAGUGGCGAAGGCGACUCUCUGGUCUGUAACUGACGCUGAGGAGCGAAAGCGUGGGGAGCGAACAGGAUUAGAUACCCCAGUAGUCCCUGUCUCUUAUAA
rnacentral:rRNA from 1 species